UUGGAGGGCAAGUCUGGUGCCAGCAGCCGCGGUAAUUCCAGCUCCAAUAGCGUAUAUUAAAGUUGUUGCAGUUAAAAAGCUCGUAGUUGAACUUCGGGGUCUACCCAUUGGUCAGGCUUAAUUGUCUGCACUGGUGAGAUGGAUCUCUACCUUCUGAGGAACUUUCAUGCCAUUUAUUUGGUGUGGUUGGAAAUCAGGACUGUUACUUUGAAAAAAUUAGAGUGUUUAAAGCAGACUAUCGUCUGAAUACAUUAGCAUGGAAUAAUGAAAUAGGACGGACUGAUUCUAUUUCGUUGGUUUCUAGGAUCGCCGUAAUGAUUAAUAGGGAUAGUUGGGGGCAUUAGUAUUCAAUUGUCAGGGGUGAAAUUCUUGGAUUUAUUGAAGACUAACUACUGCGAAAGCAUUUGCCAAGGAUGUUUUCAUUAAUCAAGAACGAAAGUUAGGGGAUCGAAGACGAUCAGAUACCGUCGUAGUCUUAACCAUAAACUAUGCCGACUAGGGAUCGGACGAAGUUAAUUUUAUAAUGACGCGUUCGGCGCCUUACGGGAAAC
rnacentral:rRNA from 1 species